UAAUUCUGUAGUAGCUUGUGCGGCUGCA
rnacentral:piRNA from 1 species